UAAAAAGUCUCAAUCAAAAGGUCAUGAUCAUUGAUCAAAAUUCAGAUGAGAUCCAAGUUAUGAAAUUAAUAGAAAGUAGAGCUCAUAUUGAAGAAACUUGGCAAAUUUUUGAAGAUGCGUUUAAAUAUUCGCUAAUACUGUUCGUUUUUCACAAAUAUAUGUUUGCAAUAUAUGAUAUUCGCUUACUUUCAGUGGCUAUAUUUACCUGCGUUUAUGAUAGUAAAGUUAUAAAUGCUAGCGUCCUAUUCUCGAUUUUUGUUAGUGUGAUCUGGAUCCUUUUGAACUUGAUUUUACUCAUUGUAAUUGUCCACCUUUGUGCAAAUAUCGAAUUUGAGGCAAAGAAAACAGGACCGCUGCUUAGCAAAAUUGCUAAUUCCCUACCAGAGUCACCCACAAGGGAGUCGCUGCUAUGGUUUGCGUCUGAAGUUUCGUCGAGGAAAGUCAAAUUUACUGCUUGUGGGCUCUUUCCUAUCAAUUACGAGCUUCUCUUUGCCGCAGCAGGGUCCUGUGCAACCAACAUGGCAAUCCUUAUGCAAGCGCACAUCGUCACAUUGAAGCAGAAAGAACAAUGAGCUGUACUAUAUAUGUUCUUUGCUCUGGUCAUCAGUACAAAAAGAGAAAGAAUUAUUAUGAAUUCAAUAAACAUCUAACAGUAGAUUUUACAUAAAUAUUUAUCACAGAUUGUAAUUAAAUGGGUUUGACGAAAGGUGUGCAUAGAUUUUUCCAUAUCAAUUUAAUUAAUGCACUAAAAUCAGUCAAGCUGAUGAAGUUUGUCGAUUGGAAACCAUAUAGUGAAUCGCAUUGUAACUUGUAACUCAACACACGUUAUUUAUUUUUCUUUCUUAUAAAAAUAUGUGAAAAAGUGAAGCCUGUGUGCAAGUUGAAUAUAUUCAAUAAGAACAUGUUUCCAUUAGCUUUAUUAUUUUCUAAUCGGGUGUCGUUUUUUUAACAAUUGAGCGUAAUUGUAUUUUUUAUAUCAUUUAGAAAAACUACUACUAAAUUUGUAUGUGAAAAAUAUCUCUGCGUGAAAUUUGUUUUUAAUUUUAGCGUUAAAGAGUGUUUCAAUAUGCAAAAAAUAAAUACAUAUCAAUAGCGUAAUAUUAAUUAUUG